rnacentral:rRNA from 1 species
ACGUAGGGGGCAAGCGUUAUCCGGAUUUACUGGGUGUAAAGGGAGUGUAGACGGCAUGGCAAGCCAGAUGUGAAAGCCCGGGGCUCAACCCCGGGACUGCAUUUGGAACUGUCAGGCUAGAGUGUCGGAGAGGAAAGCGGAAUUCCUAGUGUAGCGGUGAAAUGCGUAGAUAUUAGGAGGAACACCAGUGGCGAAGGCGGCUUUCUGGACGAUGACUGACGUUGAGGCUCGAAAGCGUGGGGAGCAAACAG